rnacentral:rRNA from 1 species
AUUGAACGCUGGCGGAAUGCUUUACACAUGCAAGUCGAACGGUAGAGGGGGCAACCCCCUCGAGAGUGGCGAACGGGUGAGUAAUAUAUCGGAACGUGCCCAGUCGUGGGGGAUAACGUAGCGAAAGUUACGCUAAUACCGCAUACGAUCUACGGAUGAAAGCGGGGGAUCGCAAGACCUCGCGCGAUUGGAGCGGCCGAUAUCAGAUUAGGUAGUUGGUGGGGUAAAGGCUCACCAAGCCAACGAUCUGUAGCUGGUCUGAGAGGACGACCAGCCACACUGGAACUGAGACACGGUCCAGACUCCUACGGGAGGCAGCAGUGGGGAAUUUUGGACAAUGGACGCAAGUCUGAUCCAGCCAUGCCGCGUGCGGGAAGAAGGCC